rnacentral:lncRNA from 1 species
GAAAAAACGAGAUUUCGAAAUGAGUGCGUCAGAAGGGAUAUGAAUGGGUUGGGUAUGGAUGACUUACAUGUCCAAUUGCCCAGAGACAACAAGAUGUGGUCCGCCCCCAGCUGCCAUGUGCUGUGGACAUUUUGUCAAGUCUGCAACGCACUCACACUUGCUUGGCAUAGGAGUGAAAAUGGGCUUCCUUAAAGUUGGUGCAAAGUUCUAAUGUAUUCAGCAAGAUGGCAAGUAAUGGAUAACAUACAACAAAAACAUGAUGGAUGUGACUGGUGUGUGGCUACUUACAAAACCUGGUGGAUUUAUUGUUCCACAGUGUUGUGGGAACCCCCUUACCACAUCAGGAGCAGAAGGCUGGGGCAGUGCAUGGCCAGGCACCAGUCCCACUUCAGAUGGAGGACAGAAGAGAUGGUUUGUCAUGGAGUCCCCUGACUAAAAGACAGGUUGAUACAGAUGUCUGAACUGGGAAAGACCUUGCACUCAGCAUUAAAACUAUACAAGACACAUCUGUCACUUCGUCUUUUGUUAUUAUUGGAUGGUAGGGGGGCGGGGGGACCCUGUGUAUUCUUCAAAUAUGUCAGGUAACUGUCGUAUAUAGGAC